UACGUAGGGUGCAAGCGUUGUCCGGAAUUAUUGGGCGUAAAGGGCUCGUAGGCGGUUUGUCGCGUCGGGAGUGAAAUCCACUGGCUUAACUGGUGGCUUGCUUUCGAUACGGGCAGACUAGAGGUAUGCAGGGGAGAACGGAAUUCCUGGUGUAGCGGUGAAAUGCGCAGAUAUCAGGAGGAACACCGGUGGCGAAGGCGGGUCUCUGGGCCGAUACUGACGCUGAGGAGCGAAAGCGUGGGGAGCGAACAGG
rnacentral:rRNA from 1 species